rnacentral:rRNA from 1 species
CGGGAGAAGGCGGCGGCUUUACACAUGCAAGUCGAGCGGGGAAAGGUAGCUUGCUACCUGACCUAGCGGCGGACGGGUGAGUAAUGCUUAGGAAUCUGCCUAUUAGUGGGGGACAACAUCUCGAAAGGGAUGCUAAUACCGCAUACGUCCUACGGGAGAAAGCAGGGGACCUUCGGGCCUUGCGCUAAUAGAUGAGCCUAAGUCGGAUUAGCUAGUUGGUGGGGUAAAGGCCUACCAAGGCGACGAUCUGUAGCGGGUCUGAGAGGAUGAUCCGCCACACUGGGACUGAGACACGGCCCAGACUCCUACGGGAGGCAGCAGUGGGGAAUAUUGGACAAUGGGGGGAACCCUGAUCCAGCCAUGCCGCGUGUGUGAAGAAGGCCUUUUGGUUGUAAAGCACUUUAAGCGAGGAGGAGGCUACCGAGAUUAAUACUCUUGGAUAGUGGACGUUACUCGCAGAAUAAGCACCGGCUAACUCUGUGCCAGCAGCCGCGGUAAUACAGAGGGUGCAAGCGUUAAUCGGAUUUACUGGGCGUAAAGCGCGCGUAGGUGGCCAAUUAAGUCAAAUGUGAAAUCCCCGAGCUUAACUUGGGAAUUGCAUUCGAUACUGGUUGG